UAUCUACUCCCUCCGUUCGGAAUUACUUGUUUUGGAAAUGGAUGUAUAUAGAACUAAAAUACAUCUAGAUACAUCCAUUUCUGCGAUAAGUAAUUCCGAACGGAGGGAGUACAUU
rfam:Triticum aestivum genome assembly, contig: Triticum_aestivum_CS42_TGACv1_scaffold_378295_5AL